rnacentral:tRNA from 1 species
GCGAGAGUGGCGGAAUUGGUAGACGCGCUGGAUUUAGGUUCCAGUGAGGAGACUCGUGGGGGUUCGAGUCCCCCCUCUCGCA